UAUAGGUUGACCUCGGAUCAGGUAGGAAUACCCGCUGAACUUAAGCAUAUCAAUAAGCGGAGGAAAAGAAACCAACAGGGAUUGCCCUAGUAACGGCGAGUGAAGCGGCAACAGCUCAAAUUUGAAAUCUGGCCCUCGGGUCCGAGUUGUAAUUUGCAGAGGAUGCUUUUGGCGCGGUGCCUUCCGAGUUCCCUGGAACGGGACGCCUUAGAGGGUGAGAGCCCCGUACGGUUGGACACCAAGCCUCUGUAAAGCUCCUUCGACGAGUCGAGUAGUUUGGGAAUGCUGCUCUAAAUGGGAGGUAAAUUUCUUCUAAAGCUAAAUAUUGGCCAGAGACCGAUAGCGCACAAGUAGAGUGAUCGAAAGAUGAAAAGCACUUUGAAAAGAGGGUUAAACAGCACGUGAAAUUGUUGAAAGGGAAGCGUUUGCGACCAGACCUCUUCCCGGCGGAUCAUCCGGUGGUUUCCACCGGUGCACUUCGCCGGGUCGAGGCCAGCAUCGGUCUCUGCAGGGGGAUAAAAGCCCUGGGAACGUAGCUCCUCCGGGAGUGUUAUAGCCCUUCGCA
rnacentral:rRNA from 1 species